rnacentral:rRNA from 1 species
GGCGGCGUGCCUAAUACAUGCAAGUCGAGCGGACCAAUAGAAAAGCUUGCUUUUCUUGAGGUUAGCGGCGGACGGGUGAGUAACACGUGGGCAACCUACCUGUAAGACUGGGAUAACUUACGGAAACGUGAGCUAAUACCGGAUAGUUUCACUUCUCGCAUGAGAAGUGAAGGAAAGAUGGCUUUUAGCUAUCACUUACAGAUGGGCCCGCGGCGCAUUAGCUAGUUGGUGGGGUAAAGGCCUACCAAGGCGACGAUGCGUAGCCGACCUGAGAGGGUGAUCGGCCACACUGGGACUGAGACACGGCCCAGACUCCUACGGGAGGCAGCAGUAGGGAAUCUUCCGCAAUGGACGAAAGUCUGACGGAGCAACGCCGCGUGAGCGAAGAAGGUCUUCGGAUCGUAAAGCUCUGUUGUUAGGGAAGAACAAGUACCGGAGUAACUGUCGGUACCUUGACGGUACCUAACCAGAAAGCCACGGCUA